rnacentral:lncRNA from 1 species
UGUUAGCAUAUGCCAAAAUUCAACUGUGGAAGGCUCAUAAAAAUGAAACACUUCAAUCCUAAAGUGAAAAUUUCUCAAAAAUGUCUUCUACUUACAGACUUAAUAAUGUUGAGAUGAAAUGAUUACACAUGUAACUGAGUCUAUAUGUAGCAAUUGCUGAACAAAUAUGAUUUCCUUCCAAGUUCCUCUUCUUCCUUCUUAAAAAUUGUAUUUUCUCAUUAGAUGCAGCUAUUUAACAACAUUACACACAAUGCUAAUAAUUUCUUCUCUUAAGCUCAUAUUAUAUGCAACAUUUAAUAUUUUAGUAAACAUAGUUAAUAUCCUUAGAAAAAUUGUUUAUUAUUCACUAUAGGAUUUUACUGACACCUUAACUACAUUAGUUGGUACCACUACUGUAAUUUCUUAAAUAUUUUCAGGAUUUUAACCACAUGAUGUUCUUAAUAGUUAAUAUAAAAAUUGCCCAUACAAAGUUAAUAUUGCCACUUAUUUUAGUAUUUUUCCUAAAAUUAAAGCGUAUAUCUUUUAGCAUCUGGUCUUAGCCUUCCUUGGGAAAAUGAAGUAUUGACUAUUGGAUCAUUUCAAUCACAGCCAGACAUUGGAGAAUAGAUGAAACAAAGAGCUGAAAAAAUUCAGAAAGGCAAACUGAGCUCUGACACUAGGAGUAGGUAAGAAGGACCAUCAUGUGAGAGGUGUUGGAGCAAGAACAAGGAAGAUUGUAUAGAUAAAAAUUAAGGCCAAUAAUACUGAUGCAAAGGAGGAAACUUACAGAAAUCCAGAGAAGAUAAUUAACAUACAUAGAAGCUAUGAUUCAACUUUGCAAAUAGGAGUUAUUUUAGAGAAAAACAGGCAUUAUGUAAAACAAAUGGUACUGUUAAAGAGAAAACAUAUCUAUUCCAAGUUUUGAAGGGAUGCUCAUGGUUUAGCAUUUGCCUCUAAACUCUGUUAGGCAUCUGUAAACUUAGAAAUAAAGUUUAAAAAAGAAUCUUAUUUUUUGGUAUGUGAAUUCUAUGCUGUGCUCAGUAUGCGUUGAAACAUGCUGCCUUUUAUUUUCUUUAACUUAUAUAUGCCAUUCAAAUUCUAUAUUGUUAAGUUAGCAACCACAAAGUUUUCUUUUUGUUUCAAUAGAGUAUGUCCCUAUGAAAUGCUGUGUAUAUAUGUCUAAACUGUAAAAAUGAUACUGCAAAUGUUGAAGUUUUGUAUUUAUGAAAGACAUUGAAAGUAUGGCUUACAGUAUAUCAAAAUUGUCACUCUUCACCAUUUGUAUAUUAAUAGUAAAAUACUUUUACUUUAAUAAAGUGUUGCAUUUAUGUUUAUUUUGAAUAG